UGAUUAUUGAGUGAAUUCAGGCGACACU
rnacentral:piRNA from 1 species